UGGGGAAUCUUGGACAAUGGGGGCAACCCUGAUCCAGCCAUGCCGCGUGAGUGAUGAAGGCCUUAGGGUCGUAAAGCUCUUUCGCCUGUGAAGAUAAUGACGGUAGCAGGUAAAGAAACCCCGGCUAACUCCGUGCCAGCAGCCGCGGUAAUACGGAGGGGGUUAGCGUUGUUCGGAAUUAUUGGGCGUAAAGAGCUCGUAGGCGGUUCGGUAAGUCGGGUGUGAAAACUCUGGGCUCAACCCAGAGAGGCCACUCGAUACUGCUGUGACUAGAGUGCGGUAGGGGAGCGGGGAAAUUCCUGGUGUAGCGGUGAAAUGCGCAGAUAUCAGGAGGAACACCAGUGGCGAAGGCGCCGCUCUGGGCCGUAACUGACGCUGAGGAGCGAAAGCAUGGGUAGCAAACAGGAUUAGAUACCCUGGUAGUCCAUGCCGUAAACGAUGAAUGCCAGUCGUCGGGUAGCAUGCUAUUCGGUGACACACCUAACGGAUUAAGCAUUCCGCCU
rnacentral:rRNA from 1 species